UGUACGUCAUAUGAGACAUCCGCUAGCUUAACGUAGUACAGCGUUUGAAGGUGGCUAGCUUGAGUCUUGUAGAGGGGGGUAGACUUCCAGGUGCAGUGGUGAAAUAGUAGAGAUCUGGAGGAAUCCCGGUGAAGAAGGCGGCCCCCUGCACCAAGACUGACGCUCAGGUGCGACAGGGGGGGGUGCAAGCAGGAUUAGAUAUCGUGGUACUCCCCCCUGUAAAUGAUGUCGAUUUGGAGGUUGUACCCUUGAGGCGAGGCUUCAGGAGCUAACGCGUUAAUUCGCCCGCCUGGGGAGUGCGGCCACAAGGUUAAAACUCAAAAAAAUUGGCGGGGGCCCGCACAAGCGGUGGAACAUGUGGUUUAUUUAGAUGCAACGAAAAGCCCCUUACCUCCUUUUCACAUCCACAGAAUUCGGUAGAGAUACUUUAGCCCUUUCGGGAACUGUCACACAGGAGCCACAUGGCUGUUCUGAUCUCGUGUUGUGAAAUUUUGGGUUAACUCCCACAAAGAGCACACCCUUUCUCUUUUGUUCCCAACGGUUUGGCCGGGAACUCAAAGGAGACUCCCAGUGAUAACCUGGAGGAAGGUGGGGAUGACGUCAAGUCAUCAUGCCCCUUCCGACUAGGGCUCCCCACGUGCUCCGAUGGCGUAUCCAAAGAGAACCGACCUCGCGAGAUCAACCAAUCCUCAUAAACUAAGUUCUAUUCCGGAUUGGAUUUUCCAAUUGGAUUCCAUGAAUUGGGAAUCGUUAGUAAUCGUAGAUCACAAUGCUACGGUGAAUACGUUCCCGGGCCUUGUACACACCGCCCGUCACACCAUGGGAGUGGGUGCAACAAGAAGCUAGGUAGCUUAACCUCGGAGGCGG
rnacentral:rRNA from 1 species